rnacentral:rRNA from 1 species
GAUGAACGCUGGCGGCGUGCCUAAUACAUGCAAGUCGAGCGAACAGACGAGGAGCUUGCUCCUCUGACGUUAGCGGCGGACGGGUGAGUAACACGUGGAUAACCUACCUAUAAGACUGGGAUAACUUCGGGAAACCGGAGCUAAUACCGGAUGAUAUUUUGAACCGCAUGGUUCAAAAGUGAAAGACGGUCUUGCUGUCACUUAUAGAUGGAUCCGCGCUGCAUUAGCUAGUUGGUAAGGUAACGGCUUACCAAGGCAACGAUGCAUAGCCGACCUGAGAGGGUGAUCGGCCACACUGGAACUGAGACACGGUCCAGACUCCUACGGGAGGCAGCAGUAGGGAAUCUUCCGAAAUGGGCGAAAGCCUGACGGAGCAACGCCGCGUGAGUGAUGAAGGUCUUCGGAUCGGAAAACUCUGUUAUUAGGGAAGAACAUAUGUGUAAGUAACUGUGCACAUCUUGACGGUACCUAAUCAGAAAGCCACGGCUAACUACGUG